UACGUAGGGUGCGAGCGUUAAUCGGAAUUACUGGGCGUAAAGCGUGCGUAGGCGGUCCCGCAAGUCCGCUGUGAAAGCCCCGGGCUUAACCUGGGAAUUGCAGUGGAAACUAUGGGACUUGAAUCCGGCAGAGGGGGGUGGAAUGCCACGUGUAGCAGGUGAAAUGCGUAGAGAUGUGGAGGAAUACCGAUGGCGAAGGCAGCCCCCUGGGUCAAUACUGACGCUCGAUGCACGAAAGCGUGGGGAGCAAACAGG
rnacentral:rRNA from 1 species